CUGCACUUGUAACUUAGGUCUAGCCUGAUGAAAGUGAAGUAUUGGCGCUAUGCGCGUGCUAAAUCAAUUUUUUGUUUUUGCUGUUAAGUGUUGCAAACCUACUAAUUUACUAAAUCUUGUUUGUGUCAAUUUGACAGCUACAUUG
rnacentral:snoRNA from 1 species